rnacentral:misc_RNA from 1 species
GAUGAAGAACGCAGUGAAAUGCGAUAAGUAAUGUGAAUUGCAGAAUUCAGUGAAUCAUCGAAUCUUUGAACGCACAUUGCGCCCGCCAGUAUUCUGGCGGGCAUGCCUGUUCGAGCGUCAUUUCAACCCUCAGGCCCCCAGUGCCUGGCGUUGGGGAUCGGCGUGGGCGGCGACGGUUCUCCGGAGCCCGAGCCAAUGCCUGCCGGCCCCGAAAUUCAGUGGCGGUCUCGCUGUAGUCCCCCUCUGCGUAGUAGCACAACUCGCAUUGGAGCUCGGCGGUGGCCAUGCCGUAAAACACCCCACUUCUGAAAGUUGACCUCGGAUCAGGUAGGAAUACCCGCUGAACUUAAGCAUAUCAAUAAGCGGAGGA